CAUGCGUCACCUUUGUGCAGCGUCAACAGAGAGCCAUGAGAGCCAUGCAGCGCGCUUCUGUAAAGGCACACAGAGAAUAACGUAAAGGAAAAACCACGCAUUAAAACACAAGUGCACGCUUCGGCCGUGAAGAGAGACAGAGGAAGUGCCAACACGGAGGUAACCGGGAAGAUUCUAGAGGUGCUCCACAUCCACUCGCUCUGUCUCCUUUGCCAACGGUUUGGGACUUCCACACGUCUUCACAGCAUGCGAGGAUGCACCCCAGGUGCAAGAAAAGAGACAGUGAGAGAAGAAUCCCCCCAUGAGGACAGGGACAAGAGGCAGCAAGCCUGAAAAAUGCUCCUGCAGACCAGCAGCCAGAGGAGCUCCUUUGGCUGAGGACAUCAACCCACAGAACCCCUGUAAUUGCAGGAGGGAGCCCACCAGGACACACAGUCAGUAAGCAGCAGAUCCUGUCACACCCUUCCAGGGAGCAGGAGCUCUCCCAAGAAAUCUCUCUCUGGAAGCAAUGUCACAGGUGUUCGUCUCCUCUUUCCUGUGCAGGAGCAGCAGCUGCAGCUCCUCUUCUCACUACUCAGCCAUCUUCUAUGGAGAGAACACAGUGGCUGUGAUCUCUCAGGGAUCUGAUCCCUGAGGGCAGGAACCUGAGCCUGACAUUCCCAGAGGCUUUCAGCAUGGGCUGGGAGCUGUGGCAGUCCUGCAGGGCAGCAAAGGGCAGAAAGCAAUGAGGCUGGGUGUCCACAGUGGGACUAAGAAGAUAGAGGCCCCAGCACCCAUUCUGCUUGCUGCUGUAGGACAGGCAGCGACCUGCGAACGGCAGAGAGAUGCUUCUGUGGGCACCACCUCUCCUAGCUGUGGUAAUUGUCUUCUUCAAAACCCCUGCUUCACUUCCAAAGAAGGACCUAUCCCCGUUACCCCCCACACUUGUGCCAGGCUCGGGCACUCCCUGCAGCCAGAGACCUGCACGGCCAUGUGGGUACUCAGACGGGGUCACCACAGUGAGGUCAGGGACAGGAAGGGAUAGAUCCAGGUUGACAGCAGCCACAGGCACCUGAGAUGCUGGCUCCUGUUGCCUGUAGGGAGCUGGCCCGUGUGCUGCUUCCAGGUCUGCCACAGCCUCCAAAUCCCACUGGAGCCAACCCCCCCAGUCCCCCACAUGCAAGAACUCACAGGGUACACAAGGUGGUGAUUCUGGUCCCUACCCUUCCAUCCAGAAGAACUAGCAGUGCCACAGGGCAAGGGAACUCCUUAAGACUGGACUGUGAAAGCCCUGGAGUAGCCAUGUCCAACCCGCAGGCUGCUUGCAACCCAACCCAGCAUGUUUUGCUGCCAACCCCUGUUGUGCACCAUCAUGGCAGCACUGAGCUGCCCUGCCUGGCCCUGCGUGUGCAACCAUCACACCCAUCACUCACAGCAACCACACAGCAGUGUGCUGUCAGUGCUGUGUAGGCUGGAAACAGGUGACAUCGCAGUGUAGUGCCAACCAAAGUGGUGGCAAAUAAUUAUAUGCAUUUUGAUACACUGCCUGAACACUGUCCUGCAAAGACUGAAAAACAUGCAGUUGUGCUUUUUGUUUUGAUAAAGGAAUUUUUAUAACAGGUUUCAAGAGUGUCAGAAAAAUCAAUUUUUUUGUAAAUUUGCAACUCCAUUUUCAGUCACUAUAAAUACCUUACCUGCGAUUUUUCAAAUGGAAUAUAUAGAGCUGCAAUCAGAUAUUCAAUGCAAAGAAAAGUGUGACCAUGUCUCUUUACCAGAUUUUUAUAAGCCCUCUCUUACCAGAUAAAGAUAUCUCACAUUUCACAAUCAUUAUUCAUGUCAUCAUUUUUUUUGGCAGUAUGUACAUUUGUGAGCAACUGUUUUCAAGGAUGAAGUACAAGAAGAGUAAGAUUUCAUCAAAAAUCUCUGAUAAGCACCAUGAGAGCUCACUGAGAACUGCACCCACUGCCAUCAAACCAGACUGAUGCGUUAGUUUCACUAAAACAAGGUCACAUAUCCCACUAGUUAAAUGGUUUUGUUGCUCUUUUUAAAAAUGCUUUAAUAAAAAACGUUUUAAAUCUUUUU